UCCCUGCCUCGCCGUGGGUGCCUCCCCCACUGCGAUGGGGGCCCUGAGAUUCAGGGGGGAAGAGGGGCUGGCUCUCAGUCCCUGCCUCGUUGGGGGUGCCUCCCCCCCCUGCGAUGGGGGUCCUGAGAGCCAGGGGGGGCAGAGGGGCUGGCUCUCAGUCCCUGCCUCGUGGGGGGUGCCUCCCCCCCUGCGAUGAGUGUCCUAAGAGCCUGGGGUGGAAGAGGGGCUGGCUCUCAGUCCCCGGCUCGCAGGUGGUGCCACCCCCUCUGCGAUGGGGGUUCCAAGAGCCAAGGGGGGGAAACUGGGCUGCCUCUCAGCCACCACAAAAUGGGGGGCCUUUAUGUUCAGGUUUUGCGCAAGAGUCAGCUUAUUUGCUUCUUCUUCUAGCAGGGCAGUUGCUGCCAAGGCCCUCCAACAGGGGAGCCAUCCUUCAGAAACCCUGUGUAGUUGUUGAGAGACGUAGGCCACCGGCCUCAGCCGGGGCCCCACAGUUUGGGUGAAAAGUCCAGCUGCCAUCUUUUCUCUCUCUAACACAUACAAUGGAAAAGGCUUUGUCAGAUCGGGUAGCCCCGGGGCUGGGGCUGCCAGAAGUUUUUCCUUUAACUCAUGAAAGACUUGCUGUUGUUGGGAUCCCCAUUCCAAAGCUUCCCAGUGCCCACCCCCUUUGUGACCUCAUACAAAGGCUUGGCUAAUACUACAGAAUUUGGGAUCCACAGUCUACAAAACCCCACAGCUCCUGAGAAUUCUCUCGGCUGCCUUCGGCCCUUAGGCUCUGGUAGAUUGCAAAUAACCUGCUUUCUUUCUGUUCCCGGGCGGCGUCGGACCCCUGUCGGAGAGUAAAUCCGAAGUAAGGUACCUGCCGUCGGCAGAUUUGAGCUUUCUUCUUGGACACCCAAUACCCACAGUCCUCCAGGCUCCGGUGGAUUGCAAAUGACCUGCUUUCUUUCUGUUCCCGGGCUGCGUUCAGACCCCUGUCGGAUAGUAAAUCCCAAAUAAGGUACCUGCCUUCAGCAGAUUUGAGCUUUCUUCUUGGACAUCUAAUACCCACAGUCCUCCAGGCUCCGGUGGAUUGCAAAUGACCUGCUUUCUUUCUGUUCCCGGGCUGCGUUCAGACCCCUGUCGGAUAGUAAAUCCCAAAUAAGGUACCUGCCUUCAGCAGAUUUGAGCUUUCUUCUUGGACAUCUAAUACCCACAGUCCUCCAGGCUCCGGUGGAUUGCAAAUGACCUGCUUUCUUUCUGUUCCCGGGCUGCGUUCAGACCCCUGUCGGAUAGUAAAUCCCAAAUAAGGUACCUGCCUUCAGCAGAUUUGAGCUUUCUUCUUGGACAUCUAAUACCCACAGUCCUCCAGGCUCCGGUGGAUUGCAAAUGACCUGCUUUCUUUCUGUUCCCGGGCUGCGUUCAGACCCCUGUCGGAUAGUAAAUCCCAAAUAAGGUACCUGCCUUCAGCAGAUUUGAGCUUUCUUCUUGGACAUCUAAUACCCACAGUCCUCCAGGUGGGUCCUAAGGUUCUUAGGAUCUGCGAUGGGGGUCCUAAGCCGGGGGGGAUGAGGGGAUGGCUCUCGGUCCCCGCCUCAUGGGGGGUGCCUCCCCCCCUGCGAUGGGGCCCCUAAGAGCCAGGGGGGAAGUGGGGCUGGCUCUCAGUCCCCGCCUCGCGGGGGGUGCCUCCCCCCUCUGCGAUGCGGGUUCUAAGAGCCACAGGGGGAAGAGGGGCUGGCUCUCAGUCCCCUCCUCGUGGGGGGUGCCUCCCCACCCAGCGAUGGGGGUCCUGAGAGCCGAGGGGGAUGAGGGGCUGGCUCUCAGUACCUGCCUCGUGGGGGGUGCCUCCCCCUCCUGCGAUGGAGGUCCUAAGAGCCAGAGGGGGAAGAGGGGCUGGCUCUCAGUCCCUGCCUCGUUGGGGGUGCCUCCCCCCCUCUGCGAUGGGGGUCCUGAGAGCCAGGGGGGCAGAGGGGCUGGCUCUCAGUCCCUGCCUCGUGGGGGGUGCCUCCCCCUCCUGCGAUGGUGGUCCUAAGAGCCAGAGGGGGAAGAGGGGCUGGCUCUCAGUCUCUGCCUCAUGGGGGGUGCCUCCCCCCCCCUGCGAUGGGAGUCCUGAGAGCCGGGGGGGAUGAGGGGCUGGCUCUCAAUCCCCGCCUCGCCGUGGGUGCCUCCCCCACUGCGAUGGGGGGGGCCCUGAGAUUCAGGGGGGAAGAGGGGCUGGCUCUCAGUCCCUGCCUCGUUGGGGGUGCCUCCCCCCACCUCCGAUUGGUGUCCUAAGAGCCUGAGGGGAAAGACGGGCUGGCUCUCAGUCCCCGCCUCGUGGGGGGUGCCUCCCACCCAACGAUGGGGGUCCUAAGAGCCGGGGGCGGAAGAGGGGCUGCCUCUGAGUCCCUGCCUCGUGGGGGGUGCCUCCCCCUCCUGCGAUGGUGGUCCUAAGAGCCAGAGGGGGAAGAGGGGCUGGCUCUCAGUCUCUGCCUCAUGGGGGGUGCCUCCCCCCCCUGCGAUGGGAGUCCUGAGAGCCGGGGGGGAUGAGGGGCUGGCUCUCAAUCCCCGCCUCGCCGUGGGUGCCUCCCCCACUGCGAUGGGGGCCCUGAGAUUCAGGGGGGAAGAGGGGCUGGCUCUCAGUCCCUGCCUCGUUGGGGGUGCCUCCCCCCCCUGCAAUGGGGGUCCUGAGAGCCAGGGGGGGCAGAGGGGCUGGCUCUCAGUCCCUGCCUCGUGGGGGGUGCCUCACCCCCUGCGAUGAGUGUCCUAAGAGCCUGGGGCGGAAGAGGGGCUGGCUCUCAGUCCCCGGCUCGCAGGUGGUGCCACCCCCUCUGCGAUGGGGGUCCCAAGAGCCAGGGGGGGAAACUGGGCUGCCUCUCAGCCACCACAAAAUGGGGGGCCUUUAUGUUCAGGUUUUGCGCAAGAGUCAGCUUAUUUGCUUCUUCUUCUAGCAGGGCAGUUGCUGCCAAGGCCCUCCAACAGGGGAGCCAUCCUUCAGAAACCCUGUCUAGUUGUUGAGAGACGUAGGCCACCGGCCUCAGCCGGGGCCCCACAGUUUGGGUGAAAAGUCCAGCUGCCAUCUUUUCUCUCUCUAACACAUACAAUGGAAAAGGCUUUGUCAGAUCGGGUAGCCCCGGGGCUGGGGCUGCCAGAAGUUUUUCCUUUAACUCAUGAAAGACUUGCUGUUGUUGGGAUCCCCAUUCCAAAGCUUCCCAGUGCCCACCCCCUUUGUGACCUCAUACAAAGGCUUGGCUAAUACUACAGAAUUUGGGAUCCACAGUCUACAAAACCCCACAGCUCCUGAGAAUUCUCUCGGCUGCCUUCGGCCCUUAGGCUCUGGUAGAUUGCAAAUAACCUGCUUUCUUUCUGUUCCCGGGCGGCGUCGGACCCCUGUCGGAGAGUAAAUCCGAAGUAAGGUACCUGCCGUCGGCAGAUUUGAGCUUUCUUCUUGGACACCCAAUACCCACAGUCCUCCAGGCUCCGGUGGAUUGCAAAUGACCUGCUUUCUUUCUGUUCCCGGGCUGCGUUCAGACCCCUGUCGGAUAGUAAAUCCCAAAUAAGGUACCUGCCUUCAGCAGAUUUGAGCUUUCUUCUUGGACAUCUAAUACCCACAGUCCUCCAGGUGGGUCCUAAGGUUCUUAGGAUCUGCGAUGGGGGUCCUAAGCCGGGGGGGAUGAGGGGAUGGCUCUCGGUCCCCGCCUCAUGGGGGGUGCCUCCCCCCCUGCGAUGGGGCCCCUAAGAGCCAGGGGGGAAGUGGGGCUGGCUCUCAGUCCCCGCCUCGCGGGGGGUGCCUCCCCCCUCUGCGAUGCGGGUUCUAAGAGCCACAGGGGGAAGAGGGGCUGGCUCUCAGUCCCCUCCUCGUGGGGGGUGCCUCCCCACCCAGCGAUGGGGGUCCUGAGAGCCGAGGGGGAUGAGGGGCUGGCUCUCAGUACCUGCCUCGUGGGGGGUGCCUCCCCCUCCUGCGAUGGAGGUCCUAAGAGCCAGAGGGGGAAGAGGGGCUGGCUCUCAGUCCCUGCCUCGUUGGGGGUGCCUCCCCCUCUC